AACGAACGCUGGCGGCAUGCCUAACACAUGCAAGUCGAACGAGACCUUCGGGUCUAGUGGCGCACGGGUGCGUAACGCGUGGGAACCUGCCUUUAGGUUCGGAAUAACUCAGAGAAAUUUGAGCUAAUACCGGAUGAUGUCUUCGGACCAAAGAUUUAUCGCCUUUAGAUGGGCCCGCGUUGGAUUAGCUAGUUGGUGGGGUAAAGGCCUACCAAGGCGACGAUCCAUAGCUGGUCUGAGAGGAUGACCAGCCACACUGGGACUGAGACACGGCCCAGACUCCUACGGGAGGCAGCAGUGGGGAAUAUUGGACAAUGGGCGAAAGCCUGAUCCAGCAAUGCCGCGUGAGUGAUGAAGGCCUUAGGGUUGUAAAGCUCUUUUACCCGAGAUGAUAAUGACAGUAUCGGGAGAAUAAGCUCCGGCUAACUCCGUG
rnacentral:rRNA from 1 species